rnacentral:tRNA from 1 species
GGGUCUGUAGCUCAGGUGGUUAGAGCGCACCCCUGAUAAGGGUGAGGUCGGUGGUUCGAGUCCUCCCAAACCCACCA